GUGUCAGUAGUGUAACGAAUAGAGCACACGUUCCUUGAAAGGGUGAGGCGCGGGUUCUAGUCCCGUCUGACGAG